AAUAUUGGACAAUGGGGGAAACCCUGAUCCAGCCAUUCCGCGUGUAUGAAGAAGGGCUUCGGGUUGUAAAGUACUUUUGGCUGAGAAGAAAAGGUAUCUGAUAAUACGAGAUAGUGCUGACGGUAUCUGCAGAAUAAGCACCGGCUAACUACGACCCAGCAGCAGCGGUAAUACGUAGGGUGCAAGCAUUAAUCGGAAUUACUGGGGGUAAAGAGUGUGUAGGCGGUUCGGAAAGAAAGAUGUGAAAUCCCAGGGCUCAACCUUGGAACUGCAUUUUUAACUGCCGAGCUAGAGUAUGUCAGAGGGGGGUAGAAUUCCACGCGUAGCAGUGAAAUGCGUAGAUAUGUGGAGGAAUACCGAUGGCGAAGGCAGCCCCCUGGGAUAAUACUGACGCUCAGACACGAAAGCGUGGGGAGCAAACAGG
rnacentral:rRNA from 1 species